UACGGGAGGCAGCAGUAAGGAAUAUUGGUCAAUGGACGCAAGUCUGAACCAGCCAUGCCGCGUGAAGGAUUAAGGUCCUCUGGAUUGUAAACUUCUUUUAUAUCGGGACGAAAAAAGGUCUUUCUAGACCCCUUGACGGUACCAUAUGAAUAAGCACCGGCUAACUCCGUGCCAGCAGCCGCGGUAAUA
rnacentral:rRNA from 1 species